rnacentral:rRNA from 1 species
GACGAACGCUGGCGGCGCGCUUAACACAUGCAAGUCGAGCGAAGCGGCGGACGGGUGAGUAACACGUGAGUAACCUGCCUUAAACAUUGGGAUAGCCUCUGGAAACCGGGAUUAAUACCAAAUGGUCUACGAUGGACUCUCGUCCCAUUAGCUAGUUGGUGAGGUAACGGCCCACCAAGGCGACGAUGGGUAGCCGGGGUGAGAGGGUGAACGGCAACAUUGGAACUGAGAAACGGUCCAAACUCUACGGGAGGCAGCAGUGGGGAAUCUUGCACAAUGGGCGAAAGUCUGAUGCAGCAAUGCCGCGUGAGUGAAGAAGGGUUUCGGGUUGUAAAGUACUGUUGGUGGGGAGGAGAAGGAGUAAAAGCUUGGCAAUUGACGGUAACGAAAGAGAAAGCAACGGCUAACUACGUGCCAGCAGCCGCGGUAAGUC